GUUCUCCAUGUUUUUCCCAACGCUCAACAACUCUUUUUUCCAUCGUUUCUCUUCCUCCUGCAGUCCUGUUGAAAUUAAAUUUUAAACUCCUAAAUCCCUAAAUCUCCACCUCAAUUUCACAGAAAUUUGGUUUCAUUCAAUCCUAUCACUUCAUUUUCUCAAUCUGCUCUUCUCAAAUUCUUGCCUCAAUACCUCUCAUGAUCUCACAAUCCCUAAAUCUUCUUUCUCGAUAUUUUGUUUUCACUCCAGUCUCACUCUCUCAGAUAGGAGCAUCACGUCUCCCCUUCAAAUUCGAAAGCAUCGUAUCUCUCUCAAUUAGAUUCAGGAACAUCACGUCUCUCCUUCAAAUCGUCUGCUGAUGAUGGCGUAGGUUUUGCUAUGUCUAACUGUGGUGUUGGGUACGUAGCGAAUUUGGUUUUUAUUGUUUCAUGUUCAAAUCUGAUAUCAUUAGAGCUCACUAUUUUGGACAUAAAAAGGGUUUGACAUUUCCCAAGAAGUGGUUGUUUCUUCCCUCCUUUUCCUGCUUUUUGAGUUGUGUCAAGAAUCCUGGUGGUUUUAGGUUAAGGACGAGAACGCUCGAUUUUGAGAAAAGGUAUGCCAAUAAUACCAUAACAGAGGAUUGUUAAUGAGUUAAUAACAAUACUUUCAUUCCAUGUAAUGUGCACAAAUUGAUAGGAUAUAUCAGAUUGAUAGGAUUUCAAGGAUUGUUGCCAAAUAUGUGCAAAGCCCAUUACUUCCUAUUUCAACCUUUGAUCUCAUAAUAACAAUGCCUUCAUGUUUACUUGAUUAAUGCUUAUAAACCCCCAAGAUUGUGGAGCUUGCUGUUGUAGUAAUGGAGGAACUAAUAUUGUGAUUCUGAAUGAAGAUGAAUACAAAAGGUGAAAAACAUGGAAAUUACAAAUUUUUAUUUCAACCUUUGCUUUUUGGCUGUCAAAACUUCAUCUACAAUGUCAGCAUCAUGAAGGCAGAGAAACUCUUUCAGAAGAAGGGACGUCCAACAAAUUUGACCCAUGAUCCUAGAUAAAGAAAUGAGAUUUAGGCAGUUUCCUAUUUGGCUCAAGAAUGUUUGGGGUUAUGGUCCGGGAACUGCAUCUUUAUACCUGUCACAUCCAUGGGUAUUAGUUGUACUCAUAGCUGCAUCUUUAUAACUCAUAAGUUACAUUUAGUUUGGCUUCAUAACUGAUACUUGAACUUUUGCUUAGUGGGAAGCAAGCCUUAACACAGUUAAUGAGCUGAAUGGAAAGAGAAUGUGGAUAAGGAGAAUGAAUCAUAUAAAAUUUCCUUAUUUUCAUUCACCAAUUUAUGGCCUUUGCUCUUGCUAUCUCAUUUCUUGCUGAUAAAUUUAUAACUACUGAUUUGUGUUGAUUUUGGAUCUUAGAAUUAUUAAUCUGAUCAAAUAAAUAACUUUUUCAGCAUGUGGUUCAUUAUACUUUUCGUCUCCAUUUUUUUACUGCAAUUCCUGAUCUGAUGUGAAAUGGGAUUAGGAUAUAAGAUUGGUGGCAAAAUGAACAGUUCUUGGUUCAUAUAAUGAGGAUAGGGACUUUGCUGAGCUCUAUGGACAUCACUUCUCAUCCCAAUUUUAGAGUAAAAGAAAUACAUUGAUGCUCCUAACUACCAAAGAAGCAUGACGAUAAUUGAUGAUAUGUGAUGGAUUUGCAAGAAAUGGAGCAUGAGUUCUACACCAAGAAUAGAAUAAAAUGUGUUAUUCUAAAUACAGUUGGUGGCUACUAUACAGCUCUAAAGGACCACACUUCUUGAUAAAUUGUGGCAAAAAAGAGCAUGCAAAGAUCAAUGUUUGUUGUAAUGAUGUUUCAAGGUGUUGCCACUUAUGUAUAAGUAAAUCCUUCUCCUAUUUUGACAUGUGUUACACUGAAAAUUUUAAAAUCUUAUUUUUAACUUUAGAGA